UUCAACUGAUAUCGACACACUAGCAUGUGGGGACAUGGAAAUAAGGUUUAACGGCCGCCUAGACUUAUAACUAUGAACAGCUUCAAAUGGAUUCAAACCUAGAGACCGAUUUACAGAAUUGUUAUACGCAAUUUGAACAGUGGGGGGAAUCAAGUCCCAAUUUCUAAGAUUUUUCUGCACUAGAGACUUGAAUAAAUUGCCAGGACUUUGGUUAACGACUUCAUUUUGACCAUCAGUUUGAAGUUGGUCAGUAGUGGGGAAUGUUGAUUUAAUGCUAACCACAGGUGACUGGAUUCUCCAAGGGUGGCCAGUGAAAUCAUCAAGCUCUUUGAGUUGUGCAAGGGUAUGACAUAUAACAUGUGACCGAGAGUUGUCAGAAACAAGGGAUAUAGUAUCUAAAGUCUCGGGAAGAGUCUGGAGUCCACCUAAAGAAGUGUCCUCACUAUCAUCCAAGUCAUCAAAAUCUUCAAGUUUAGGUUCAUAGACUAGAUCUUCUAAUGGCAUAUCUAUUACAUUCUUUCGUUCUUCCAUGACUAAGGUUCGAUUAGUACAUUUGGAAGAAAUGUGGCCAAAGUCUUUACAGUUGACGCACAACAAGUGAGAAGAAGACCUUGGAGUUUCAGAAAUUUUACCCUGAUUUUCCAAGAUUGGAGAACCAUUAGAAGGGGGAGGUCCUAGAAGGGACUUAACGGGAGGUGGAGCCAAUGAAGCAAAAUGAUGAUUAUAAAAAUUUUUAUCCUUAUUUUCCAAAAUUGGAGGAACAUCAGAUGGGGGUGGUCCUAGAAGGGACUUAACGGGAGGAAUUGGAGCCAAUGACACCGAAGGAUGAUUGUCAAUAUGCUUUCUACAUGGAAAAGGAGAUUGUGGACUAUCACGACCUUUACAAUUAUUUUUCCAAAUAGGAGGAACAUUAGACGGAGACGAUUUUAUGAUAGACUUAUGAUGAGGCGACGCUAAUGAGAUGGGUGAGCGACGAUGACCACGCUUUUCAUAUGGAGUACUAAUAAUCAACUCAUAAUCUCGAGCUAAAGAGUAAGCGUGAUUAAAAGUAGUGACACCUCGAAGGAAAAGCUCGCGCUUAAGAUCAUCUCUCAGACCUUGGCUAAACCUACUCAAAGUCGUACUCUCAUCCUCAAUUAAAUGACAUUUGAUUCGAAAUUCCUCAAAUUGCGCAAUAUACUCAGUCACUAAUUGAUUUCCUUGUUUAAGGGCAUUCCAUUGAGUAAGAAUUUCAAAAUUAUCUCGUUCUCGCUCACGAAUCUGAUCCCUAUUCCUAUCCCUAUCCUUAC
rnacentral:lncRNA from 1 species